GAUGAACGCUGGCGGCGUGCCUAAUACAUGCAAGUCGAGCAAAGCGGGGACGGGUGAGUAACACGUGGAUAACCUCCUAUAAGACUGGGAAAACUUCGGGAAACCGGAGCUAAACCGGAACCUUAUAGAUGGAUCCGCGCUGCAUUAGCUAGUUGGUAAGGGAACGGCUUAAAAAGGCAACGUUGCAUAGCCGACCUGAGAGGGUGAUCGGCCAGUAUGCAACUUAGAAACGGUCCAGACUCCUGCGGGAGGCAGCAGUAGGGAAUCUUCCGCAAUGUGCGAAAGCCUGACGGAGCGACGCCGCGUUAGUGAUGUAGGUCUUCGGAUCGUAAAACUCUGUUAUUAGGGAAGCGGUACCUAAUCAGAAAGCCACGGCGAACUCCGUGCCAGCAGCCGCGGUAAUUC
rnacentral:rRNA from 1 species